CUCAGAUUGCGUUUAACUCCCUUGAGAGCUGACGGUUGUCACGUAAAUUACCUAGAAGAUUGCGUUAAAUUCUUUGAAGAAUCCUGGAAAUUGAUCUCCAAAAGCUUCUGUUCUAACACCUGACGUCCGGAAAAAAUCCCUGGUAGUUGUGUAGCAUUGAAGCAUCGGUCAGGUUUUUUUUUUUUCUCAUGGUGCACUUUUGAAGCAUUGUGCCCAGAGACAUCAAGAUCACCUUCACAAGAACUAGGAUGGCGAGCCCCAGCCCAGAGGACCGAGUGAACCGGUAGAUGGUGACCCGACUGGUCACCAGCCGUGAAACUCUGAAAAAAUAUUUCACAAACACAUUGGAAAGACUAAACAAACUUGGAAUGAACAUUUGACAGACAUCAAAAAGACUGGGUUAUUUAUUUACAUUUUUUUUUAAAAAGCGCGCAAUUUUUGUUUAUUUGUACAAUGUGGAUCCACAAAUGUUUAUAUUAAAUUCAACUUUUUUUAUAUACAUUGUGUGCUCUCCUCUGUUGCUCAUAACUAGGCUCCCGUGAAUUUAGAAUCUCCUGAUCAGGCCCAACUUCCUUACAGUUUUGUAGUGAUGGUAUUAGUAAGGUACAUUAACUUAACUUGCCAUCUACUAUUAAAGGUAUUUAAAGUAACCUUUCUUGUGGGUUGCACUUGCUCAACUUGUUUCUGCUUAUUAAGAUAAUCCAAGGUGUGACGAAAAACCUUCUUACAUAAUGUUACCAAAACAUGUGGCCUCAAAUAGUUAGUGUAGAGCUGAACCCAAGCAGAUGUUGCCCACUUGGAUCUGGACUAGCAGGGUUAAAAUCACUUUAAACUGCAAUAAAGAGUAGGUUUCAYAGAGCAAUGAUAAAUUGACCAGAGUAAAGUCUGAUCACCAAAUAAUGUUGAUUAAAUUCUAAUCUGACAGAGAAUAACAAUCAGGAAAUAAAGUUUUUUUCUUUCCAUUUAGUACUCUGACAGUCAAUAAUGAGAACUGAUCUAUGGGGAAGGUCAUUUCUUAACCCUAUAAAGUCUGACCCAUCAAAAAUAGUCAGAAAAUAAAAUUUUUUUAGAACUAGGAUCUUCAUGAAGCCUUGAAGCAAAAUCCAAUUUUUUAUUUUUUUUUUGCAAUGUCAUUUAUUUUAUAAGAUCAUUUUUGUAUCACAUUUGACUCGCUAUGUUCUUCCUCUUUGAGUUAGUUGCAUGUUUUUUCUUUCAAGCAGUUUUAUGUGCUUUUUGAGUUUAGUAAUUAUAAGGACUGCCUCUAGAUGGAGGCCUCGUCAUUAUCUCCAGUUGCAACAGAUAGUUUUUUAUUCUGUUUUACAUAAAACAAAAGCCAAGAAAAAAAAAGAAAAAUAAUCAUCUGAGAAAAACAGUGUAGUAACUCAUGAUCCUUGUGGCUGUUUUUGUAUUUUCUGUGAAUUUCUUUAUUUUUUUCUUCAUUAUUAAGAAAUUAUGCACACACCUUCCUCUUUCAUUGUUUUUUGCAAAUGUAGCCUUGGCAAAAAUUCUAUCUGGGAGACCCAUUACCACGCCUCAGCCAACCAGGACCAGAUCAUUGCUCUGCUCCAGCCAAUCACCUUGCAAGAGCUCCUUCAAAAGGCCAAUCAACCUCGGAUCCACCAGCUGCAGACGUGCUUCGACCCACCCCCUCCCCGUCUCCACCCUCAUCCUGCCAGGCAUCUUCCAGGCUCCCUGCAGGCUCCUUCCCCUCUAAGCUGUGCUCCACCGCCAGUAACUGGGCCCGGGGGAAGACUACCCUGAGCUUCGCCCUGAGCCAAUAAUCCAAGCUUGCAGCGAUUCCCAGCUAGCACGUCUUCUGCCGGUGUCCGAGCGCCAAGUUCUCGGUCCAAUAAACCGUCUAACUGCUG